CAGCAAAAAAAAUUGAGAAAAUAAUAAUUAGAAAGGCUAGAUGGUAGGUUAGGUUAAUAUUUGAGAGCUCAGCCUCAACGUCUCAUAUAGAAAUCCAUCAUUUUCAUAAGAAGCUGUUUUCUUCGCCUGAAAACCACUCUUCCAAAACCACUCUCCAUCGUUCUCCAACUCUCUCUCUCUCUCUCUCUCUCUCUNNNNNNNGUCCCCACUUUCUCCUUCUCUCUAAGCACCGUUCUUGUUCCUCAUACGUUUAUCUCAGAACCCCACAUAUAUAUCAUCAUCAUCGUCAUCUCUCUGUGCAGUAGACGAUAAUCUGUGUUAAGAAGGACCAUGAUCUCUUUGUUUCUUUGAAUCUCUAUAGUCUUCUAUGCUUCCACUGUGUGCUUCUGUUUCUACUGCAUCAUGUACCAAGCACACCAGUGCUUCUAUAUAUCUCUCUCUCCCCCUGUCUUUUUCUCUUUCUCUAUAUAG
rnacentral:misc_RNA from 1 species